rnacentral:lncRNA from 1 species
AUGCUAAUUUUCAGAAAAGGAAAAAAAAAAAAAAAAGGAAGGAGGGAGGGAGGGAAGGAGGGAGGGAAGGAGGGAGGGAAGGAAGAAAAAAAGAGAGAGAAAAAAAAUUAUGUUUGUUGGGAUAUUCACUCCACCCUUCUCUUCCCCUGCAGAAUUCUUCUGAUGGGCAGGUACCUCGCAAAAGGCUGGAGGUCUUCUGCCUCCUAACCCCACCUGAGUCCAUGAAUAUCCACGGAGAGGACUGGUGCCACUUAGUGAACAGUAUCACUAAUAUGGUUACUUGGACACGGAAAUCCUAAUGGCUUUAAGAUUUUUGUUAUGGACUUCAGGGUUUAAAAGCAAGAGCUGCAUUUGGCAUAAAUAAGCAAAGCAGCUCUGAUUUCUGCAGAGUUAUUUCAAUGAAGAUUAGGCAGGGAAAUGACCAAGUGGAGGGUAGGCUGGCAGCACAGGAAUAGAAGCUGGGGUAGAGGAUGACAUUUAACUUUUAAGGCUGCAUUUGUAAAGGUCAGGUCUCUAGAUGCCUGUACAUUACAUCACACUGGUCAAGUUAUUUCACAAUUGCCUGGAUAAAGUCAGAUGUUUAUUGCAAGUUAGAUAGUAAUCAUCUACUUGGGAAAGCUUGCUAGCAGCUGAUAAGUCUCUUAUAAAAGUAAGAUUGCAGCUGUGUUUCUCUCUCUUCCCUCUUCCUCCCUGCCUUCAACUCCACAAGGAUCCAUGUGAAUUUAGUGUUAAGGAAAGGUACAGACCUAAACCUUCAGUGAAUUCACCACUAGAGCAAAGAGUAUCACAGUAAAAGCUGGACAGCUUGUUGAGGAUACCUUCUUGACGCUUCCUGUGAUGCCACAACACAUCCAUAUCUGCAAACAAGAAAACCUUCUGCUAUUUAAACUUCUUGCUGCCAAACACAACACCGGAGCCUGGCCACUUUUGCCGCUGUUCAUUCACACGCAAGGCUACAUUUACGCACACAUUUACCAUUGAACAGGUGUUUACAGUCAAUUGACUUCACUGCUUACAAUGUCCACACAUUUGCAAUCAGGAACACUUUAGUUUUUGUGGCAUUGAGCAGAAGUAGGUGUCUUUGUGCUGAAUAUUUGCACACUUCAUGCUAGAUAGAUUCUACCCAGCAAAGAAGCGCUCCGAAGGCUUUCCUAUCGACCCCCAAAGACAUUAAACAGAAGGCAGUGACAUGGCAGAGAUUAGAGUG